GCCGGUAUGGCCAAGUGGUAAGGCACUGCACUUGUACGUCUACGUUCAUAUCACGAACAGGAAUACAUGCAGCGAUCUCUCGUUCGAUCCGGGAUGCUGGCU